rnacentral:rRNA from 1 species
GACGAACGCUGGCGGCGUGCUUAACACAUGCAAGUCGAACGGAAAGGCCCCCUUGUGGGGUACUCGAGUGGCGAACGGGUGAGUAACACGUGAGUAACCUACCCUUGACUUUGGGAUAACUUCAGGAAACUGGGGCUAAUACCGUAUCGGAGCUCCUGCUGCAUGGUGGGGGUUGGAAAGUUUCGGCGGUUGGGGAUGGACUCGCGGCUUAUCAGCUUGUUGGUGGGGUAGUGGCUCACCAAGGCUUUGACGGGUAGCCGGCCUGAGAGGGUGACCGGCCACAUUGGGACUGAGAUACGGCCCAGACUCCUACGGGAGGCAGCAGUGGGGAAUAUUGCACAAUGGGCGGAAGCCUGAUGCAGCAACGCCGCGUGCGGGAUGACGGCCUUCGGGUUGUAAACCGCUUUCGCCUGUGACGAAGCGUGAGUGACGGUAAUGGGUAAAGAAGCACCGGCUAACUACGUG